rnacentral:lncRNA from 1 species
AGUAGCUGGAUGGAAAUAGCAACAAUCGCAGGAGGGAGGGCGGCGACUUGCGUAAUCAUUGUGGUUUUCCUUUUUUUAUUUUUUGAUAUAGGGUCUUGCUGCCUUACCCAGGCUUGAGUGCAGUGGUCUGAUCAUGGCUCACUAUAGCUUCAGUCUCUAAUCCUCCCGCCUCAGCCUUCCGGUAGCUGGAACUACAGGCGGAGCCACCAUGCGCAGCUAUUUUUAGUAGAGACGGGUUUCGCCAUGUUGCCCAGGCUAGUCUCUCCAACUCCUGGCCUCAAGCGAUCCUGCCGCUUUGGCCUCCUAAAGUGCUU